rnacentral:rRNA from 1 species
AUUGAACGCUGGCGGCAGGCCUAACACAUGCAAGUCGAGCGUGAAAGGGCUUCGGCCUGAGUAAAGCGGCGGACGGGUGAGUAACGCGUAGGAAUCUACCUGGUAGUGGGGGAUAACGUUCCGAAAGGGACGCUAAUACCGCAUACGUUCCGAGGAAGAAAGCGGGGGAUCGCAAGACCUCGCGCUAUCAGAUGAGCCUGCGUCCGAUUAGCUAGUUGGUGGGGUAAAGGCCUACCAAGGCGACGAUCGGUAACUGGUCUGAGAGGAUGAUCAGUCACACUGGAACUGAGACACGGUCCAGACUCCUACGGGAGGCAGCAGUGGGGAAUAUUGGACAAUGGGCGCAAGCCUGAUCCAGCCAUGCCGCGUGUGUGAAGAAGGCCUCGGUUGUAAGUAC